GUGGUGCCCUGGGCGGCCGUGCGCCAGCUCGUGGAGUUCCUCUACAGCGGGAGCCUGGUGGUGGCGCGCGCCGAGGCGCUGCACAUGCUCACCGCCGCCUCCGUGCUGCAGAUCGAGGCCGUCAUCGGCGAGUGCACGCAGAUCAUCUCGCAGGCACGGCUGGUGACCCCCUCGCUGAGCGCUGAGCUGGCCACUGAGCUGGCCACUGAGCUGGCCACAGAGGUGGCCACACCGCUGACCCCAUCCCUGACCACUGAACAGUCAACACCGCUGUCCACACCACUGACCGGAGAACUGACCCCAUCCCUGACCCCAUCCCUGACCACAGAACUGACCACAGAACUGACCACAGAGAUGCCCACAGAGCUGACCACAGAGCUGACCACAGAGAUGCCCACAGAGAUGCCCACAGACGGCCCCAGCGGGCACAGCCGCAAGCAGCGCCAGCCUCUGCGCCUGGUGCCCGCUGCGCUCAAGGAGGAGCGCCUGGAGGAGGAUGAGGAGGAUGAGGAGGAGGCAGAGGAUGAAGGAGCCCCCCAGGAAGGCGUCAUGGCCUCGCUGUCCCUCCCUUGUUUUGGAGCUGCCGCCGCCGAGGCGCCGUUGGUGCCGCCCUGGGAGGCUCCCGGGGGGGACGGGGUCGGUUUUGGGGCCCCCCGGUGGUUGGCGCCGCCCUGGCGGGGGGGGCUGGAGGGGGGCGGGGGUCUCACGGCCCCCCCCGGUGCCCCCCGGAGCCCCCCGGAGCCGGGCACAGCCCCCCCCGUACCAGUGCGGGCACUGCCAGAAGAGCUUCAGCUCCCGCCACUGACCCCAGCUCCCCAUUUCCCUCCCCACAGGUGAGAAGCCCCACCAGUGCUCCAUCUGCUGCCGCUCCUUCUCUCUCCGGGACUACCUGCUGAAGCACAUGGUGACGCACACGGGCGUGCGCGCCUUCCAGUGCGCCGUGUGCUGCAAGCGCUUCACGCAGAAGAGCUCGCUGAACGUGCACAUGCGCACGCACCGCCCCGAGCGCUUCCAGUGCCGCCUCUGCCACCGGGGCUUCUCGCACCGCACCCUGCUGGAGAGACACGCCGCCACCGCGCACCAAGGGACAGCGACGGGGACAGCACCGGGGACAGCAGGGACACCGCUGGGACUGCCACCGGGGCUGCCACUGGGGACAGCAGGGACACCG
rnacentral:lncRNA from 1 species